UGUAGAGUUCACUGUUAAAGGGGUGGGCACUGUGGAGGUCAAUGUUUAGGGGCGGGUACUGUGGAGGUCACUGUUAAAGUGGCGGCCACUAUGAAGGUCACUGAUAAAGGGAUGGUCAAUGUUAAAGCAGCGGGCACUGUGGGAGUCACUGUUAAAGGGGCGGGCACUGUGAAGUCAAUGUUAAAGGGGCGGGCACUGUGGAGGUCACUGUUAAAGGUGUGGUCACUGUUAAAGGGGCAGGCACUGUGGAGGCCACUG